AAUGGGCGAAAGCCUGACGGAGCAACGCCGCGUGAGGGAUGAAGGCCUCUGGGCUGUAAACCUCUUUUAUCAGGGAAGAAGAUCUGACGGUACUUGAUGAAUAAGCCACGGCUAAUUCCGUGCCAGCAGCCGCGGUAAUACGGGAGUGGCAAGCGUUAUCCGGAAUUAUUGGGCGUAAAGCGUCCGCAGGCGGCCCUUCAAGUCUGCUGUUAAAAAGUGGAGCUUAACUCCAUCAUGGCAGUGGAAACUGUUGGGCUUGAGUGUGGUAGGGGCAGAGGGAAUUCCCGGUGUAGCGGUGAAAUGCGUAGAUAUCGGGAAGAACACCAGUGGCGAAGGCGCUCUGCUGGGCCAUCACUGACGCUCAUGGACGAAAGCCAGGGGAGCGAAAGGGAUU
rnacentral:rRNA from 1 species